UUUCUUUUCUCUCUCUCGAUUUCCAUUUGAAAUUUGAAAAUUUCUUUAUUUUUUGGGUAAAAGUUUGCAGAGAGAGAAAAUAGACCAUAUCGUCUCUCUUUUCUUCUCUAAGUCCUCCUAGGGUUUCAUUUCAUUUACGCAAUCUCACUCACUAAGAAGUUCGAUCCAAGGUCUCUCUCUCUCUCUCUCUCUCUCUCUCUCUCUCUCUCUCUCCAUGGAGUUUUUUAGUUAUGUAGAUAUAGAUAUAUACAUGUUGAUGUUGAUGUUGAGAUUCGGAUAUAUAGUUUGAUUUUGAUAGCAGAGAAGUUGUUUAAUUUCAGAUUGAAUUUGAUUUCCAAUUUUUCGAUAGUUUUAAUAUUUAGUUGAAAAAGCCAGUUAGCACAGAGGAAGAAGCUCACGACAUGCUAAGUUACACAUUUGAGUGUGGGAUCAAUGCCCUAGACACUGCCAAAGCUUACCCAAUUCCAAUGAAAAAGGAGACACAAGGAAGAACUGAUGUCUUUAUUAGUAGCUGGCUCAAGUCUCAACCCCGUAAUAAGGUUCUAGCAUUGUCUUUUCAAGAAGCUCUGUUUAACCAAUAUGUGGUUGAAACACUCUCUGGUCCCCCAAAGUAUCACAUGAAAGAAGAUCAUUUAAAGGCUGUUGCUGUGGUUAGGGAGUUUCAGAAGAUCAUUGUCUCUUAACGAUACGAAAACAGCAGUGGAUGAGCUUCACAAUAUGGUGUCAGUGCUUGUAGGAUUCAUAAUUAAUUGUGAUAAUCUCACUUCAUGCAUUUUCUUGUCUUCAUAAGCUCACACCUUCUUCUGACUGUUUUUAUCUUUGGCAAUACAUGCAUAACAGAAUUUGAAGCUAUCAUUUUCUUAUUCAUAGUCCACCCCUUUGAUGUAGGUGAUCGUUGUGAAGUGGACGGAGUUUAGGGACCAAAUAUUGAGGUGAAGUUCAGCAAGCUAACCUCAAUGUUCUUUGUGCACUCUCAAAGCCAUUAAGAGCAAUAUUGCAGGAUAAUUCAUACUAGUCUCCUCCUCUUGCAAGUUGCAAAAUGUUGAAGUACGAGAAUACUUUUUUUUAUUAUUAAUUUCACUACAAAAGAGAUAUUUGUAUGUAUAGAUACCAUUCUAUUAUUGUUUCAAUAAUAGAAAUUACCUUUUUAUGUUAUACAAAGAUAUUUCUAUGUAAUUAUAAAAAAAUUUGAAUAAUGAAAUUAUAAAAUUUGCAAGUUCUAAAUA